rnacentral:rRNA from 1 species
GGGGAAUAUUGGACAAUGGGCGAAAGCCUGAUCCAGCAAUACCGCGUGAAUGAUAAAGGCCUUAGGGUUGUAAAGUUCUUUUAGCAGGGAAGAUGAUGACGGUACCUGCAGAAAAAGCCCCGGCUAACUCCGUGCCAGCAGCCGCGGUAAGACGGAGGGGGCUAGCGUUGUUCGGAAUUACUGGGCGUAAAGAGUGCGUAGGCGGUUUAGUAAGUUGGAAGUGAAAUCCCGGGGCUUAACCUCGGAACUGCUUUCAAAACUAUUAGGCUAGAGUAUGGUAGGGGGUGAUGGAAUUCCGAGUGUAGAGGUGAAAUUCUUAGAUAUUCGGAGGAACACCGGUGGCGAAGGCGGUCACCUGGGCCAUAACUGACGCUGAUGCACGAAAGCGUGGGGAGCAAAC